rnacentral:rRNA from 1 species
GAUGAACGCUAGCGGCAGGCUUAACACAUGCAAGUCGAGGGGUAGAGGCUUUCGGGUCUUGAGACCGGCGCACGGGUGCGUAACGCGUAUGCAAUCUACCUUGUACUGGGGGAUAGCCCAGAGAAAUUUGGAUUAAUACCCCAUAGUAUUUUCGGUUGGCAUCAACUGAUUAUUAAAGUUUUUCGGUACAAGAUGAGCAUGCGUCCCAUUAGCUAGUUGGUAUGGUAACGGCAUACCAAGGCUACGAUGGGUAGGGGUCCUGAGAGGGAGAUCCCCCACACUGGUACUGAGACACGGACCAGACUCCUACGGGAGGCAGCAGUGAGGAAUAUUGGUCAAUGGUCGCAAGACUGAACCAGCCAUGCCGCGUGCAGGAUGAAGCAUCUAUGGUGUGUAAACUGCUUUUGUACGGGAAGAAACACUGCUACGUGUAGCAGCUUGACGGUACCGUAAGAAUAAGGAUCGGCUAACUCCGUGCCAGCCGCCGCGGUAAGAC